CGACACCGGCAUGCCACCCCGCUCUGUGUUCCCUCUCCUUGGCUCAUGCUCCGGUGACGGUGGGUGGCUCGGGAAUAUUUUUUGAGAAGAGAGCUAGAUAAGGUAUUAGCUCUCUAUCACCUUCUUGUUUUGAAUCUUAAAGCAGUGUAGGGACCACCAUUCAAAUUUUUAUUUUAUUCUGGUUGGGUGUAGGAACAAGAACCCCACCUGAUCCAUUCGCAACGAUAGCACGCAAAAGCAGCCGUUGAUCAGCUGACAUCCAAUCAUCCCACGGUGAGGGGCCAAAGGAAUCUUAUAAUGUGUGGGAUUGGCUAUAAAGAUGCCCUACCACAUGAUAGCUUAAGAGAGAUUUUUUUUUUAAAAAAAAAAAAAGAUAACAUACUGUACGUUUUGUUUANGUUUGUUUAUAUUUUCACCUCUUUAUAUAUAAUUAAAUAAUCAAAAUUACAAAACUUGUUUCACUUUAUAGCCAACCAAACAAUAGAAUUAAAUUUUUUUAACUUCAGCCACUUUCCCCUUACCAAAAGCAAUAAUCAAAUGUUGAAAAUGGCAAACAAGUUUGAAACUUGUAAAUACGAGACGAAAUAAAAUUCUGAAUCUUAAAGCAGAAAUUCAAAAUUAAGCUUCUACCUUCACUACCAUAAAAAUAUAUAUAUCCUUAUUUCCAUCUCAGCAAAUUAUUUUUUU
rnacentral:lncRNA from 1 species